CCUACGGGUGGCAGCAGUGAGGAAUAUUGGUCAAUGGCCGAGAGCCUGAACCAGCCAAGUCGCGUGAAGGAUGACUGCCCUAUGGGUUGUAAACUUCUUUUAUAAGGGACUAAUAAGUUCUACGUGUGGGAUUAUGUAUGUACCCUAUGAAUAAGGAUCGGCAAAAUCCGUGCCCGCAACCGCGGUAAUACGGAGGAUCCGAGGGUUUUCCGGUUUUAUGGGGUUUAAGGGGUGCGUAGUCGGUUUUUUAAGUUAGUGGUAAAAAUUUGGGGUUAACCAUUCAAGUGCCGUUGAAACUGGCAGUCUUGAGUACAGUAGAGGUAGGCGGAAUACGUUGUGUAGCGGUGAAAUGCUUAGAUAUCACGAAGAACUCCGAUUGCGAAGGCAGCUCACCGGACUGCAACUGACGCUGAAGCACGAAAGCGUGGGUAUCGAACAGGAUUAGAUACCCUGGUAGUC
rnacentral:rRNA from 1 species